rnacentral:rRNA from 1 species
AGUCGACGAGAAUCUAUGGAAAGAGGCUUCGGCCAAUUGAAGUAGAGGACAGUGGCGGACGGGUGAGUAACGCGUGAGCAACCUGCCUCGGAGUGGGGGACAACAGGGGGAAACCUCUGCUAAUACCGCAUAAUGUCAUUGGGUGGCAUCACUUAAUGACCAAAGAUUUAUUGCUCUGAGAUGGGCUCGCGUCUGAUUAGGUAGUUGGUGAGGUAACGGCUCACCAAGCCUACGAUCAGUAGCCGGGUUGAGAGACUGAACGGCCACAUUGGGACUGAGAUACGGCCCAGACUCCUACGGGAGGCAGCAGUGGGGAAUAUUGGGCAAUGGGCGAAAGCCUGACCCAGCAACGCCGCGUGAAGGAAGAAGGCUUUCGGGUUGUAAACUUCUUUUACCAGGGACGAAGGACGUGACGGUACCUGGAGAAAAAGCUCCGGCUAACUACGUGCCAGCAGCCGCGGUAAUACGUAGGGAGCAAGCGUUGUCCGGAUUUACUGGGUGUAAAGGGCGUGUAGGCGGAGACGCAAGUCAGGAGUGAAAUCCCCGGGCUCAACCCGGGAACUGCUUUUGAAACUGCGUCCCUUGAGUAUCGGAGAGGCAGGCGGAAUUCCUAGUGUAGCGGUGAAAUGCGUAGAUAUUAGGAGGAACAC